rnacentral:rRNA from 1 species
UAGAGUUUGAUCAUGGCUCAGAUUGAACGCUGGCGGCAGGCCUAACACAUGCAAGUCGAGCGGUAGAGAGGUGCUUGCACCUCUUGAGAGCGGCGGACGGGUGAGUAAUGCCUAGGAAUCUGCCUGGUAGUGGGGGAUAACGUUCGGAAACGGACGCUAAUACCGCAUACGUCCUACGGGAGAAAGCAGGGGACCUUCGGGCCUUGCGCUAUCAGAUGAGCCUAGGUCGGAUUAGCUAGUUGGUGAGGUAAUGGCUCACCAAGGCGACGAUCCGUAACUGGUCUGAGAGGAUGAUCAGUCACACUGGAACUGAGACACGGUCCAGACUCCUACGGGAGGCAGCAGUGGGGAAUAUUGGACAAUGGGCGAAAGCCUGAUCCAGCCAUGCCGCGUGUGUGAAGAAGGUCUUCGGAUUGUAAAGCACUUUAAGUUGGGAGGAAGGGUACUUACCUAAUACGUGAGUAUUUGACGUACCGA